rnacentral:rRNA from 1 species
ACCCGCUGAACUUAAGCAUAUCAUUAAGCGGAGGAGAAGAAAUUAACUAAGAUUGCCCUAGUAACGGCGAGUGAAGCGGCAAGAGCCCAAACUGGAAAUCUUGUACACAUCGUGUGCACGAAUUGUAAUCUAUAGGAUGCUUGCUCACCGGGUGGUGGCGCAGAAGUGCCUUCGAACGGGCCGCCAAAGAGGGUGCCAGCCCCGUAUGUGGUGCCACCGCCUAACGAGUGGGUGUUCCAAGAGUCGGGUUGUUUUGUAUUGCAGCCCUAAGUGGGAGAUAAACUUCUUCUAAGGCUAAAUAUAUAUGGGAAACCGAUAGCGAACAAGUACUGUGAAGGAAAGAUGAAAAGAACUUUGAAAAGAGAGUCAAAAGACUUGAAAUCGUUGAGAAGGAAGCGGUAGAAAUUUAUUCUUCGGCGGAGGUCGGUGGUAGUUGCCUAACCAUUGCUGGAGUGCAGUACUGCAUAAGGCUGUACCUGGUACCUGGGGAAGCGGCUGCUUUGACCUCCGUCGUGAGGCAAAAUGAGGCCGCGCAACCGCAUAGGCUUCCCACACCUGGCCUGCUUCGGCAGGCAGUGUGGGUGUGCUGGCGGGGGUGCGACCUGAGGAUGCUUUGUGCGAUUUUGCCAAAAUGGUUUU